rnacentral:lncRNA from 10 species
CUCCAAAGUAAUGCUGAUAACCACAGUGAGCACCAAAGCCAAAUGCCAAAAACCAAAAAGGAUGGCAAGAAUCAACCACAGGGGACAUCAGAGGACCACAGGUGGAGGAGAAGAGGCGAAAGUGGAAGCAACACAGCUGGAAAUGCUGGGACGUGCAGCAUUCUAUACUGCAAGUAGGCCCCAUGAAACAACCCUAAGGCAAGAAAGCAUCCACUAUGCUCAGAGAACAGCAAGGUGGCCCAGUUGGGUAGAGCAGAGUGACCUGUAGGAAGAAUAAUGGAUGUCAGGAGGAUUACUCUGGAUGCUAUGCUGAGAAGAAACUGAAGACAAUGGUGGAAGUGGGAAAGCUUAUGACUCAGAAUAACUAUUUCUAAUAACAAAUUUUAAGUUCUCUUCAUGCAGAGCAGCUGACACAAAUCUUCAACUCAUUGAUGAUGGCAUCUGACUGUUCCAGGUAUUAAGAAGAGAGAAAGAAUCUGAGAAAUUAUGGCGUACUCAACUGUGGACAGCUGAAAGUCUGGCAUAGCGUGCCCUCAUCAUCACAAAUGGGCUCGCAUUACAAGCUACACUUAUUUGACAACUAUCAGCAUUUGUCAACCGGCACUCAGAUUUGAAGACUCAUUUCACAGCUGGAGCAAGAGAAGACAGGAAGGAAAAAUCAGAGUAAGGUUUCAAUGAGUUUCUGCAAAUUCUCAGAAGUUUUGCUGCCACUCAGUGUCACAAUAACAAAAAG